GACGAACGCUGGCGGCGUGCUUAACACAUGCAAGUCGAGCGGUAAGGCCCUUUCGGGGGUACACGAGCGGCGAACGGGUGAGUAACACGUGGGUGACCUGCCCUCAGCUCUGGGAUAAGCCCGGGAAACUGGGUCUAAUACCGGAUAUGACUCCAUGACGCAUGUUGUGGGGUGGAAAGCCUUGUGCGGCUGAGGAUGGGCCCGCGGCCUAUCAGCUUGUUGGUGGGUGAUGGCCUACCAAGGCGACGACGGUAGCCGGCCUGAGAGGGCGACCGGCCACACUGGGACUGAGACACGGCCCAGACUCCUACGGGAGGCAGCAGUGGGGAAUCUUGCGCAAUGGGCGAAAGCCUGACGCAGCGACGCCGCGU
rnacentral:rRNA from 1 species